AUGGAAGUUUCUGAUCAGGUCCUGGUCCAGGAUGUCAUGGAAGGGAACGCAUGACCUGUCCUCUGGCUGUAACGCUCCCAAUCCACCAAAUACUACCACAAACCAGGCCGGAGUUGAGAAGCUGAUGGAUGGUGUACACUGGCUGACCAUCAAUGAUACAAAGAGUCAUGGACCGUCUCAGACAGCACAGAAGGUCCUUUAGACAGAGAACAUGGAAGGUGCAGAUGUGACAGGCUGCAAUUACAGGCCAUGCCUGGCUAUCAGAAUCGCCUCUUGCUGAAUUCUGCUGGACAGAGUUAGGGAUGAAAAGAUGAAUCUCACUGAAAUAUGACAACGUGGAAGUGCCAUUCCUAAUGUGUCAAGUUAAGACAAAACAUAUUGGACUGACACAUUUGCUGCUUCAGUUUGGCUUGUUCCGAUGCAGAUAACAUUAUAUACACUGAGUGAAAUAUACAGUGGAUUCCGAUUAAUUGAGAUACGUGGGGACCAGUACAUUUUGGCGCAGAUAAGUGGCUGUUCCGAUGAGUCAAGUUUCAUGGAAAUAGUUAAGAAGGUAUAAAAAAAGCAAAGUACUGUUUAACUGAGUAACAAACUGUGUAUUUAAAUUAAGUACAGAACAAAUUAGAACAUCAUCAAUACUACUACAAUUAUAUAAAACUGUGAAUUAGUUCCAAAUAGUUAUUGAUGGAGGAAUUCAUUCAGUGUACACUGCUGUGUUCUUUUGAUGGACUGUAAGUGAACAAAAUCAAAGCAGACACCUUGUGCAAAUAAUGGA